rnacentral:lncRNA from 1 species
CGUUUUUGAAUCUUUUAGUUGGAAGAUGACCCAUCCGCGGUUACACUUUCUGUUACGUAUAUCUGCAUUUUUAGAUCUGAAAAAUAAUUUUACUCUUAAGCGAAGAUACUCGAACUCUUUUAAUUUCAUGGUUAAGGUCGAUGAUGACUAAUUUUAAGGCUUGUUUCUCAAAACAUUCGCAGUGGCCGCCUAAGAGCUUUCGCCUUCGCCAGGCUUGAGAGUUACUGCUGCUUUUAUCCUUCCUUGGAUGUCUGAGACCUUGAUACUGUUGCCUUUUACAUUUUUGUUAUUGAAAUUUUCCUCUUUUGAAUGUGAAAUGAGUUCAAUUGAAUCUUAUUCGGAAAUUGCGUUUUGUUUAUUACUUGAGUAACUUUAUUAGUUUUUAUCUUUUGCCGCUUUUAGUGUUAUGGAUUGUAGGACUAGUGGAACUUUUUUAAUUAUAAGGUCAGUGGUGACAAUUAUUAAGGCUUGUUUCUCAAAACAUUCGCAGUGGCCGCCUGAGAGCUUUCGCCUUCGCCAGGCUUGAGAGCUUCUGCUGCUUUUAUCCUUCCUUGGAUGUCUGAGACCUUCUGUCUACUUUCAGUUGCUUGUUGGAAUUCCCUCUUAUAUAGGGGAAAGAAUGAUAUUUUGAUUGUAAAGGUUGUGUUGAGCAUUAGUUUGAAUUAUUUUCUCUGCUGUGUUUGGUUUUUAGGUAUCUUAAGUACUUGACU